rnacentral:rRNA from 1 species
AAGUCGUAACAAGGUUUCCGUAGGUGAACCUGCGGAAGGAUCAUUACUGAGUCGUUGACAUGAGUUGUUGCUGGUCCCCAAACGGGGACAUGUGCACGCUCUGUUUACACAUCCACUCACACCUGUGCACCCUCUGUAGUUCCGUGGUCUGGGGGACAUGCUGUCUUCCUCCCGUGGUUCUACGUCUUUACACAUACGCCGUAGCAAAGUCUUAUGGAAUGUGAGCCGCGUUUAACGCAAUACAAUACAACUUUGAGCAACGGACUCCUUGGCUCUCGCAUCGAUGAAGAACGCAGCGAAAUGCGAUAAGUAAUGUGAAUUGCAGAAUUCAGUGAAUCAUCGAAUCUUUGAACGCACCUUGCGCCCCUUGGCCAUUCCGAGGGGCAUGCCUGUUUGAGUAUCAUGAACACCUCAACUCUCACGGUUUGCCGUGAUGAGCUUGGACUUUGGGGGUUUUGCUGGCCUUUGGUCGGCUCCUCUCAAACAAAUCAGCUUGCCAGUGUUUGGUUGCGGUCACAGGUGUGAUAACCACUCACGCUUGUGGUCGUUUGCCGGAUAACCUUCUUGACAACGGAGGUUUGCUGGAGCUCACUGACGUCUCUCCUAAGCGAAGACACGGUUUUGAACGUUCGAUCUCAAAUCAGGUAGGACUACCC